AUGCCUAAGAUAAAGACAAAAUGUGUCGGAUAUACUGAAGGGUGGGUGCUUAUUGAACCCAUAAUCCGUGAGCUCGAUAGCAAAUUAGAGAACUUGAAAAUGACACACAUGACGGGAAGAAAAAGUGCGAAGCACUCUGGCCAAUUUUCCGCAUUUCUCAUCCAAGAAGCCGUUACAUAUUACUUAUAAUGAUAAGAAGGAAGGAUAUAUCAAAGGAGCUGUAUGAUCGUUUCUACCAGGGUUAUGCAGACCGUAAUCUGAUUGCAAAGUGGAAAAGGGAUCAAGAGAAGCAUAGUAAGAUAAUAAAGGUUGUUUGCAGAAUGUGA
rnacentral:rRNA from 1 species